rnacentral:lncRNA from 1 species
GUCAUGACCGUCACCCGCAGCGCUACUGUCAUGUCCCCCACUGGCCGGUGCAGCCUCAUGGAACUGUGGCUCGACAACACUCCUAGCGAGGUCGUCCAAAAAUUGCAUCGGACGGUCGGGGAACGGCACCAAACUAGCGAUGCAUGGGAGAUCACGCUCGGCCUCCGUGGGACGUAGUGUGGCGUGCAUGUGCAGCUGUAGAAACAGGGAAGAACGGGUAGUUAAAAUAUAUUGCAUACUAUUCCCUAAAAAAUAAAAUAAUUGAAAGGCAAAUGAAAAAUAUCCAUGACCUGUACGUCCCUGAAGAACGCAUCGUACAUACGCUGCUGCGGUUGUUUGGUAGAGGUCCAGCACAGAAGCCGAGGCGAUUGUUCACCCACCUGCUGACCGAAGCGUUCGUCCAGUUCGGGCACGG